rnacentral:rRNA from 1 species
UCCUACGGGACGCAGCAGUGAGGAAUAUUGGUCAAUGGACGAGAGUCUGAACCAGCUAAGUAGCGUGAAGGAUGACUGCCCUAUGGGUUGUAAACUUCUUUUAUAUGGGAAUAAAAUGUUCCACGUGUGGGAUUUUGUAUGUACCAUACGAAUAAGGAUCGGCUAACUCCGUGCCAGCAGCCGCGGUAAUACGGAGGAUCCGAGCGUUAUCCGGCUUUAUUGGGUUUAAAGGGAGCGUAGGUGGAUUGUUAAGUCAGUUGUGAAAGUUUGCUGCUCAACCGUAAAAUUGCAGGUGAAGCUGUCAG